rfam:Myotis brandtii contig305310, whole genome shotgun sequence.
GGCAGUUCUUGGGUGACACACCCGGAAGUGGGCUCCCUCCUCUCUGGUUUUGGGGUGGGUCACCUGAGAACCGCC